CGCAACUCAAUUAAUUCAUACCAAACAUUUCUAUCUCAAACCUCAAGACCAAUGGAUGAUUCUCACCUACGCAGUUGCAGCAGAGGCCGCCAUUUUUCUUGUGAUCUCACUUCCUUUACCAAAGGUUCUCAGAACUCGUCUGGUUUCAUUAAUAUCUCUUAUCCUUCAGCCGUUAAUGUUCAUCGUCCCUUUCGCCGCUUUUCAGCUUCUCGAUAUUUACUGGAAGUAUGAGCACCAAUUGACGUGUACUUCUGAGAUCUGUACUGUCACCGAGAGAGAUCGCUAUGAGAAAUCGGUAAUUGUUGUUUUGUUGUUGAUUAUUUAGGGUUUACGUGCCUUAAUUUUGUACAAUUUAAUUUCUAAUUUUGUUGGAUUUAUUAUCAUGAUUAUUUACUAUCGGGAGAUUAAUUGCUCCUACCAUCCAUCAUCCAAUGUUUAGGAAUUAGGAUUAAUGGGGUGGUUUAAUUUCCAUAGUUUACAUUUUGAUAUUGUUGUUAAUCAGUUAAUGUGAAGGGCUUGGGGUUGAUUCCCCGGUAGUUGUAAAUUUGUAAUGAUGGAUUGGAGGUUUUGUCGGGGCGGUGAUGAUACUGCAUUGUUGAAAGACUCAAAAUAGAGUGGAAAGGCUGAGCCUAGGGGUAUUAUUAGGGUCUUAACGAUAUGUUUAGCACUCCAUUUGUUAGGUGCAUUGUUAGAUUCAAUUUAUGUCGCAUUCCAUUUGUUAGUUGCACUCCACAGAAAACUGAAGACGCUCUGGAAUUGGAUUCUCCACUCUGAUCAGGAAAAAAUGGACCAUCAUACUGCUGUUUGUUAUGCAAUUCUCACUCUGGCAAUGGCUACUUCUUCUGCAAUUCAGAUUGGCGCUCGAGAUGAAUUCAGGAAGACCCAAAUAAUCGCAACGAAUUCUCCGUUCUCUAUUGCACCUGAAACCCUCCAGAAGCAGAUUGAAUGAUCUGAACGAGAUAUAGCGUGUGUAUCUAAGUAUGUGUGGGGAGCAGGGGUGAGUCCAGAUGACUCUGUUCUGGCAGAGGAGAAUUGAUUUUGUCAUGUAAAAGUAUCACUUAAUGACACAAAUCACAAUGUUCAUAAGCAUUACUCUGAGAAUCACCUGAUGGAUAUUUAUACUCUUUAUAUGUUUCAAGAAACUCAGUUUUGAAGAGGAAAAUGAAUUUCAGGGAAAAUGAGCAACUCAAUUUUGGUAAGCUGCUUUCAUGUAGAUAAUCAAGCUGUCUCUUCUAGUGCCCCCGACUAGGAACAAAACUAACUCCACCACUCCGGCCGUAGUCUGUGGUGCUUUUUGUGCUAUAUUCGGUGCUAUUGCCCUUGAUUCCGGGAAGUCCGAUGCUGCUGCAAAAGUGUUCUUGAAUGUUCAUGCUCGCACUGGUGAAUUAGCUGCUGAUUUUUAGUCAAUAUUAACUGGAGCAGAUUGAUCGUGAAAGAUCGCAAUUCAAGAUGAAGGAGCUCAAGUGUUAUCGUAUAGUCUUUUAUGACAGUUUAAUACUUUUCAGUUGUAAAUAGACCACCUAGUAACCGAGUUGUAAUAGUUUAAGUUUUGUAAGCCUUAGCACUUGACAAUGUGGUCAAGUGUGGCGGUGAUACCUCCGAUUUAGGUGUAAGUUUCCGCAAUUUCUAUAAAGUCUUUUAUAUUUCUUAUUUA